GAUACUAACUUCCGGGGAGGCCAGCUCUGCGUUCCGAGCCCCGCCGCUGGGGCGGGCGGCUGGGGGGACCUCCGCGAGGCGGGCGGUGACCGGAACUCGGGCCCCCGCCCCAGGUCUCGAGGUCUGGGGGAGAUGACGUGGACUUGUACGGGAGAACCUGGGAGUGAGGUCCAUGCCGAGGCCAGGAAGGAGCCCAGGAGGCCUGGCCGCGGCCUGACCACGGGCAGAUCCCAGACGGCUUGGAGGUGGAAACGGGCGAGAGGAGAGUUACCGAGCAGGAGGACGCGGCCUGGGGCCUCGUCAGAAGGGACUUGAACAGACUGAGCCCGGAACAGCUCAUGACCCCUACGCUGCAAAGCCACCGCGCCCCCGUUCUCCAGAUGAAAGCGUGGCCAGGCGUGGUGGCCUUGCCUCUCCUUCCAGCACUGGGGAAGGCCUAGGCAGGAGGGGCCUCGGCCACAGGGAGAGUAAAUACUAAAGUCUGGAAGAAAUAGGUUUGAAAGUUCAGAAUUAGAAUUCAUAUCCCUCACCUGCAUUUGAGAUCUAACAGUUGAUGAGAAAUACACAAAAGUGCCUCACUAAAAGUGGACAGAAUAUUUGAAAACCUAAUUCACAUUUAAAAAAAUACUUGCCAUGAUCAAAACAGCACGGAGCCCACAGGGAGGCUGCAGGAGGACCUUCUGUGGUGAAGUGUGAGUGCUUCCCCGCACUAGACACGUCUCGUCGUGGAUGCGUGUCUCCAUCUACCCUGACGUGUAGAGACCCCUGGCGUCUUGGGCUGUGGCUGACUCCAGUAAGCUCUGACUCACCCGUGUGCAGACGUGGAGGUGCUCGUGCCGCUCUCCUUCUCCUGUGAGGGGACAUGAACAUUCAUAGAUCUUGCUCUGUGRCCCAGGCUGUCCUUGAACUCAUCAACUUCGUGCCCAAGCCUGACUGUGUGCCACCAUGUACCACCGUCUUGAUGUAUCUCGUGAAGAGAACCGGCUGAUUUUUGGGGGGUGUGCGCACUCUCCAGCCUCCCAUUGGCCAUGCUGACCUCAGGCUUCCCUCUGGUGCAGCUUUCCGUGGCGGCGUGGGGCUCUGUUUCCAGCCUGCCGAGGCCAUCCUGCAGCUUUCUGUGCUCAUGUGCCACCGUACCCCCUGGGUGAAGAACUUGUGGUGAUCAUUAGCCCAACUGUAGACUCCAGCUCUGUAGCUCUUAGUGGGUCCUGGG